GACUACUGUAUAUGCAGUAAUCUCAUUGUGGCUGCUACCAUACUUUUUCUCUCUGAAACCUUUGCCUUUUUCUCUUGAUGUGGCUUAUAUUGGGCCUCAUCUCUUCAUUCAUGCACUCAGUUAAAAUGCUGCAGUGUUUUACGAGUUCAGCCUGUGAGAAUCCAUAUUUCAUGGCUGCUACUGGUGAAGUCUGUGCUGCUUUAAGGAUCGAUGGAAACACGUCAAAUGUCAAUUCAUCAUGUAUCAUAAGGACCUCUUUGCCCAAAGUAUAUUGCUUGAACCAGAAGGCAAAUAGUUCACCAGCCAUUGCAUCAAUUGGUUUAGGUUUUAUCAAUGUAGCUGUCAGUGUUUUCUGCUGCUCCACUGAUCACUGUAACAACGCCAGUC